AGGAAGGAGGCCGCGCCCCCGGCCCCCCUUCUUCACCUCCCCCCCUCCGCCCCCGAUACAGCUCCGCGGGCGCGGAAGCACCUGCGCAUCCUUUAUAAGGCCCCCCCCCCUAAACCCGGCGCUGCGUGGCGCACGAGAAGCAUGGCCAAGCUGGAGAAGAGGGGACCGUCCCCCAGUCAAGUCACACGCAUGGGCCACACACCUCUUCCCAAAGGAUUUGCAGCACUGCCUGGAAGUUUGUCCAGGAAGAACCCACUUGCCCCAUUAGCUGGAAGGCUGCACACAUCACUUGACUGCCCAAAAGGUCUCUCCUCACUCCCCACUUUUGGUUCACAAUCUUAAAAAUAAAUAAAUAAAUAAAUAAAAGAAAAAUCACAUAACUGCA